rnacentral:rRNA from 1 species
AGUGGACGCUGGCGGUAGGCCUAACACAUGCGAGUCGAACGGCAGCACAGUAAGAGCUUGCUCUUACGGGUGGCGAGUGGCGGACGGGUGAGGAAUACAUCGGAAUCUACUUUUUCGUGGGGGAUAACGUAGGGAAACUUACGCUAAUACCGCAUACGACCUACGGGUGAAAGCAGGGGAUCUUCGGACCUUGCGCGAUUGAAUGAGCCGAUGUCGGAUUAGCUAGUUGGCGGGGUAAAGGCCCACCAAGGCGACGAUCCGUAGCUGGUCUGAGAGGAUGAUCAGCCACACUGGAACUGAGACACGGUCCAGACUCCUACGGGAGGCAGCAGUGGGGAAUAUUGGACAAUGGGCGCAAGCCUGAUCCAGCCAUACCGCGUGGGUGAAGAAGGCCUUCGGGUUGUAAAGCCCUUUUGUUGGGAAAGAAAAGCAGCAGGUUAAUACCCCGCUGUUCCGACGGUACCCAAAGAAUAAGCACCGGCUAACUUCGUG